rnacentral:rRNA from 1 species
UACGGAGGAUCCGAGCGUUAUCCGGAUUUAUUGGGUUUAAAGGGUGCGUAGGCGGCCUAUUAAGUCAGGGGUGAAAGACGGUAGCUUAACUAUCGCAGUGCCUUUGAUACUGAUGGGCUUGAAUGUAGUUGAGGUAGGCGGAAUGUGACAAGUAGCGGUGAAAUGCAUAGAUAUGUCACAGAACACCAAUUGCGAAGGCAGCUUACUAAAGUAUGAUUGACGCUGAGGCACGAAAGCGUGGGGAUCAAACAGG